rnacentral:rRNA from 1 species
CUAAGGCGAGGCCGCAAGGCGUAGUCGAUGCACAUACGGUAGAAAUUCCGUAGCCGGCUCAAUCGUUAAGCAUACUGACACAUGAGAGUAGCUCUACCGGGCGUUGGUUGCCCCGGGCGUAAGCGAGCCGAAUGAGGCGAAGUGAGUAAAUCUUGUGGCGAGAAAAGGUGUGUGUAUUGGUUGGGCUGCCCGUACCGCAAACCGACACAGGUAGAUGAGGAGAAGAUCCUAAGGCCAUCGGGAGAAGGGUUGUUAAGGAACUAGGCAAAUUGACCCCGUAACUUCGGGAGAAGGGGUGCCUACGAGAGUAGGCCGCAGAGAAUCGGCCCAAGCAACUGUUUACCAAAAACACAGGUCUCUGCUAAAUCGAAAGAUGACGUAUAGGGGCUGACGCCUGCCCGGUGCUGGAAGGUUAAGAGGAGGACUUAGUGGCAACACGAAGGCCCGAAUUGAAGCCCCAGUAAACGGCGGCCGUAACUAUAACGGUCCUAAGGUAGCGAAUUCCUUGUCGGGUAAGUUCCGACCUGCACGAAUGGCGUAACGAUCUCCACACUGUCUCGGCCAGAGACUCGGUGAAAUUGAAGUCGCGGUGAAAAUGCCGUGUACCCGCAGAAAGACGGAAAGACCCUGUGCACCUUUACUAUAGCUUGACAUUGGGAUUUGAGCCUGCAUGUGUAGCAUAGGUGGGAGCCUGAGAACCCUGUACGCCAGUAUGGGGGGAGGCAACGUUGAAAUACCACCCUUGUUUGUUCAGGUCCCUAACUCCUUGCCGUUAUCCGGUAGGAGGACAGUGUCUGGUGGGUAGUUUGACUGGGGCGGUCGCCCUCAGGCUGAUUGGAAACCAGCCGUCGAGUGCAAACGCAGAAGGGAGCUUGACUGCAAGAGAGACAUCUCGAGCAGGUACGAAAGUAGGUGUUAGUGAUCCGGUGAUCCCGAAUGGAAGGGUCAUCGCUCAUUGGAUAAAAGGUACGCCGGGGAUAACAGGCUGAUCGCAUCCAAGAGUUCACAUCGACGAUGCGGUUUGGCACCUCGAUGUCGGCUCAUCACAUCCUGGGGCUGAAGCAGGUCCCAAGGGUACGGCUGUUCGCCGUUUAAAGUGGUACGCGAGCUGGGUUUAAAACGUCGUGAGACAGUUUGGUCCCUAUCUUCUGUGGGCGUAGGAGAAUUGAAAGGGCCUGUCCCUAGUACGAGAGGACCGGGAUGGACACACCACUGGUGGACCUGUUGUCGUGCCAACGGCACAGCAGGGUAGCUAUGUGUGGAAGGGAUAACCGCUGAAAGCAUCUAAGCGGGAAGCCUGCCUUAAGAUAAGUUCUCCCUGACGCAAGUCCUGAAGGGCCGAGGUAGACGACCUCGUCGAUAGGCUGGAGGUGGAAGCCCUGUGAGGGGUGGAGCUGACCAGUACUAAUAGCCCGUGCGUCUUGUUUCU